CCGGAAAUGCGCGUCAAUUGUCGCUAUAGUAACAGACACAAUCCUGUAGGUUAGCUUGUGAACAAGUUAACCAGUUUUUUUUAAAACGUGUGAGCCUAUUUUUCAGUCAAACAUGGUGGAGGGGUCCGAUGCGUAUCUUAUACGACCUAACCAUCAGCACAAGUUCAAACCAACUGUCGUAAAGGAUUGCAUCCGAGAAAUUGUGAGGGAGCGUCUGUCUGGAGUGCAGUACGACCCGGAGAAUGUCCCAGAGCUGACCCGUUCACUGGCAGAGAGCGUUAAGGACAAAGUGAAGAAUGCAGGAUUUGACAGAUACAAGCUUGUUGUGCAGGUGCUCAUUGGAGAACAACGAGGACAAGGAGUCAAGCUCUACUUUAUGGAGGCUGUAAUGUCACUCAGCGUGUAAAGGUUCAAGGGGCUUCUUUGUCAAAGCAAGGAUGUCUUCCAGGUGUUUGUGGGAUGCUGACACAGACAACUAUGCAGAAGAUGUUUUCAUGAAUGACAGCUUGUUCUGUGUGGUGGCAGUUUUCGGAAGCUAUUACUACUGAAGACCUGAAGCAUGGACGACAGCCGAUUCUUUUACAUGAAGAGAUAUUAGAUAAACACCGUCAGCAUUUCAGCUUCUGGAGGGUGGAAAUAUAGGACUUUUGCUGAUGUAGUGAUUAUAUAAUGAAUGAUGUCACUGUAACUUCCUGACUUGACAGGUUAGAUAUUAAUGUUUGUACAACUAAUUCUGUGUUGUACCUUAUAGCUAAAAAUGUUCCAGUCUGGCCUCUGAACCAGUCGACACUCACAGGUGUUGAAAGGUCGGUGUCAGGGUGAGACCUUUGUGUUUACUGGAUGAAGGAACCUUUUCAAAUUAACCUUAUUUAAAAAGAUAAUUCAAUAAGUGAAAUAUCUUUAGCAACACAUUAUUGUUUAUCCUCUGGAGCUGCUGUGUAACGGAGUGUGCUCUGCAGCCGUGUUUGUCUACAAAUUAUUUUCAGGUGUAGAAAAGCAGUUUAAAGUAACAUAAUGCAUUGAAUUACAGUGAGAAUAUGCGUUCAACUGAGUUGUUGAAUUGGAGCAGAAUUACAGCACAGGUCAGUAUGUUUUAGAUGCUGUUAGCAUCAUGACAGAAAUAGUUAACAUACAUCACCUUCUGUAAUUAUAGAACAGGUACACAAAACAUGUCUAGGUUUAUUACCAAAUACUUUAUUCCACAUACUACAAAGUAUAAUACUUCUUCUCAGGUAUACGCUAGUGUUUUGUAAAAAUGUAUUUGUGUUCGACAACGACUGCGUUGUCUCUUCUUGUAGACUGACUGUAGCUGUUAACAUGGUUGCAAAAUGGUUUUAGAAGCCCCUUUACUUGGAAAAUAAAUACUAUAAAUGUUGAAUUGCCAUAAUUAUAAGUGCCUUGUAAAUAGUGUUUUUGUGUUAAAAACCGAAUAAAAAAAUUGUACUUGUGUAAUAUUUAAUAAAGAAUUAAAACACCAUGAA